GAUGAACGCUGGCGGCGUGCCUAAUACAUGCAAGUCGAGCGAACGGACGAGAAGCUUGCUUCUCUGAUGCUAGCGGCGGACGGGUGAGUAACACGUGGAUAACCUACCUAUAAGACUGGGAUAACUUCGGGAAACCGGAGCUAAUACCGGAUGAUCUUUUGAACCGCAUGGUUCAAAAGUGAAAGACGGUCUUGCUGUCACUUAUCGAUGGAUCCGCGCUGCAUUAGCUAGUUGGUAAGGUAACGGCUUACCAAGGCAACGAUGCAUAGCCGACCUGAGAGGGUGAUCGGCCACACUGGAACUGAGACACGGUCCAGACUCCUACGGGAGGCAGCAGUAGGGAAUCUUCCGCAAUGGGCGAAAGCCUGACGGAGCAACGCCGCGUGAGUGAUGAAGGUCUUCGGAUCGUAAAACUCUGUUAUUAGGGAAGAACAUAUGUGUAAGUAACUGUGCACAUCUUGACGGUACCUAAUCAGAAAGCAACGGCUAACUACGUG
rnacentral:rRNA from 1 species